rnacentral:rRNA from 1 species
AGGAGGUAGUGACAAGAAAUAACAAUACGGGACGUAUGUUUUGUAAUUGGAAUGAUGGGAAUUUAAACCUCUUCCAGAGUAUCAAUUGGAGGGCAAGUCUGGUGCCAGCAGCCGCGGUAAUUCCAGCUCCAAUAGCGUAUAUUAAAAUUGUUGCAGUUAAAAAGCUCGUAGUUGAAUUUCAGCUGCUCCGCACUUUCUUCCCGUUAUGGAGGUUGUGCGCYGUGGCUUAUUUCGGACUGUGUUAUGCACUGUCCGGAUGUUUACUUUGAGAAAAUUAGAGUGCUCAAAGCAGGCUUUUGGCUUGAAUAGUUUAGCAUGGAAUAAUAAAGUAGGACUUUGGUUCUAUUUUGUUGGUUUUAGGUACCAAAGUAAUGGUUAAUAGGAGCAGUUGGGGGUAUUCGUAUUUAACUGUCAGAGGUAAAAUUCCUUAGA